rfam:Peniophora sp. CONT PENSPscaffold_67_Cont115, whole genome shotgun sequence.
CCUUCGAUAGCUCAGCGGUAGAGCGUGGAACGUCUAUAGGUGCUAUGAAAGGCGUUUGUCCCAAGGUCGUCGGUUCGAAUCCGACUCGAAGGA